rnacentral:rRNA from 1 species
AUCGAACGCUGGCGGCAUGCCUUACACAUGCAAGUCGAACGGCAGCACGGGAGCAAUCCUGGUGGCGAGUGGCGGACGGGUGAGUAAUAUAUCGGAACGUGCCCAGUCGUGGGGGACAACGCAGCGAAAGCUGUGCUAAUACCGCAUACGAUCUAAGGAUGAAAGCGGGGGAUCGCAAGACCCCGCGCGAUUGGAGCGGCCGAUAUCAGAUUAGCUAGUUGGUGGGGUAAAGGCCCACCAAGGCGACGAUCUGUAGCUGGUCUGAGAGGACGACCAGCCACACUGGAACUGAGACACGGUCCAGACUCCUACGGGAGGCAGCAGUGGGGAAUUUUGGACAAUGGGCGCAAGCCUGAUCCAGCAAUGCCGCGUGCAGGAUGAAGGCCUUCGGGUUGUAAACUGCUUUUGUACGGAACGAAACGGCCCUUUCUAAUACAGGGGGCUAAUGACGGUACCGUAAGAAUAAGCACCGGCUAACUACGUGCCAGCAGCCGCGGUAACAC